rnacentral:lncRNA from 1 species
CCUGCCUUAGCCUCCUGAAUAGCUGGGACUACAGGUGUAUGUCACCACGCUUGGCUAAUUUUUGUAUUUUUAGUAGAGGCAGGGUUUUACCACAUUGGUCAGGCUGGUCUAAGAAUAGACACAUAGAUCAAUGAAAUAGCAUAUAUUAAUAGAAUCAGGAAAUAUAUUGGCACAAAUAUAGUAAAAUGAUUUUUGAUAAAAACGCAAAGUCAAUUCAAUGGGAAGGUUACAGACAGCAGGGAGGCAAAGGCUGAAAUGAUCCACGUGGUCAAGGAUUAAUCUGUAUAAACUCGAUCCUGUAGCAUCCUGUAAUGCCAGAAGGCAAGGAAGUGCUUAUUGAAAUAAAAACCACACAAUGGGGCUAUUUUUAAACCUUUGAGGUAGGACUAUCUAGGUUGAAGAUAUUGGCUAAAAAUUUAGGUAGCUUUUCCAGGAGAAACAGGGCUAGUAGAGGGAAAGAUGAAUUCAGAGCUUGGGUAAAUUUUAAGCAUGCAUCCAUCUUGAUAAUUAUAUUUUUGCCCCAAAGUGAUGUGGGUUAUUUAAACAUA